UCUAUUGUCAACGUCUAGAAUCACUGUCAUCCAGACCAAAAAUAAAUUAUACAAGCACAACAUUUUAAACUUGUCAAAUAGAUGAUUAAACUAAUAGGAUCCAAAACAAUGCCUAAUCAAAAAUUGAAUUAAAUAUCCAUAAUCCAUAUCUGGAUCCAUUCAUCAGCAUCCGGGUCUGAGCUUAAUAAUCCAUAAUGUAUUAAGCUCAUGCCAUAUUUCAAAAAUUUAAAAUAUGCAUGAGCUUAAUAUUUCAAAUUUGCAUUUAAUUGUCAACCAGGGUCUCUAGUUUGAAAUCUACUGCUUUAAAGAUAUGAUGAUUUGGCAUACUUCUCUAUAUUCUGUUUAAAUCACGUUGUACUUUUGGUUACUUACUGCUAUGGGGUUCACGGUAUUGCUUUUUUACAGGUAUUUAAACAUAGAUGAGGCAGAUAGAUUGGUGGAUUUUUGGUUUUGAAAUGACAUAAGAGAAGUGUUUGACCACUUUCAAAAGCGCAAAGACAGACCCUGUCUCUUUUCUGCCACCAUGCCCCAAAGAUUCGAAAUUUGCUAGAAUGCUCUAGUUACACCUGUUUAACAGUUAACGUGGGACGGGCGGGAGCAGCAAAUCUCGACGUAAUUCAAGAUGUGGAGUAUGUGAAGCAAAGCAAAAUUGUUUACCUUCUCGAAUGCUUGUGCAAAAGACCCGCCUCCAGUUCCUGAUAUUCUGCGAGAACAAAUCUGAUGUGAUGAUAUUCAUGAAUUACAUAGCAUAUAAAACGUAAAGGACCAAAAAAAUGCAUAAUCAAAAAUUGAAUUACAUAUCAUAAUCCAUAUCCAGAUCCAUUCAAUCACAUCGGGUAUUUCAAUUCAUCAUCUUUCCCAGCGUCAUUCUUUAUAUUAUCUCCAUGUCUUCAUCAUCUCAUCAUAUUAUUGUCUUCCCCUUGUUUCACAAAUGGCCCACUCUUUCAGGGAAAAACCUCAAUUUCAACACGUCUUCACUAUGAUUGAAUACAUCCUCAAUGUCAAUUGCCAAAGUUUGAGGUAAAUACUUUCUUGUUGGAAGGCUUCGCUACUUUUUCAUGGAUCCAUUGUUCACCAUCUCUCACCUCUGUUACAUCAAACACACCCUUUGCUGACCAAUUGGCAACGCUUGCCAAGGUUUGACCCAUUUUGUAUCAUUUAGGGGAGAAAACUUGCUUUGCAUGGCUAGGGAAGAUGAAUGGGUCAUAUUGAUCCCACCGACUCUUGACAUUGAUGCUCUUGUAAUAUUUAUCAUUCGUAUGUAUAUUUUGGCAAGCGUUACCGGUGUUGUACCAGUCACAUUUAAACAAAAUUACUUUAUUUUGACACAUGUACUCCGAAUUCCCAAACAUUGAUCAAGGGACAUAAAAGUUGUGGCCUCUUACCCCUCGUAGUCCCCUAAUAGCAAGCACAACCACUAUUUUUUGAGUCUUACGGUGGUUUAUCUAAUUCUCUUUAACAUUUGCUAAUGACCCUUUGCUAAUGACCAUAAAUCAUCAGUCUCAACUUUUGAGUUAUUCGCGUCUCAUUGAUUUAUCUAAAAUAGUACAACAAGAAAAAGUUAUUAUUCUGGUAAAUAGAAUUAUGAAUACUGAUCAUAAUCUCUACAAAUGUCUUACUUGCUCUUUAAAACCCUUGGGAAAGUCUUUCCAUUGUAUAUUUGGUUAUGUCUUGUCCGUUUUGAAACAUGUACGAUAUUGUGUUCCCAUUCAAAGAAUGUGAUUAAUAGAUGAAGCCUAUAUAUUAUUGUCAUCUAAUCCUUUCAAAAAAAAAUAAAUGAAACACUUACUCUAGAUAUUCUUUAAUCUCAUGAAAUCUCAAGGCUAUUAACAACACGAACCAAUGGGCUAUAAAUCACGAGUUUCUUGAGAAUCUCACCAUCCUUGUGAUUAUCCCAAUAGGAACGAGCGUCUCUGUGAAUACUGUGUACCCCCUUCACGUCGUGGACCAUAGUUUCAUUUUGUUCAUGUCGAUUAUACUCGUUUCAUACCCAUCAAGAUACAUUGAGUAAAAAUAAUACAUUCCUUGACAAUGUAUCCUCUGCAAUGGAACUUCUGGUCGAGCUCGAUUAGAAACAAACUUUUUCAAAGCUCCAAGAACUUCAAAAGGGAGACUAUUACACAUCCAAUAAUGAACUUUCAAAUAUGAAUUAGUUUGGGUCACAAUUACUUCGAAUGGAUACAUCCACCGAUAUGUACUUGGUCCCCCAAGUAAGGCCUGGCACGUUGUGGGUGAAUGGCUAAGUGGGACCAUCACUAAAAGAAGGCGGGAGGAAAGAUCUUUUUUUUUCCAUCAAACCCCCCGCUUGCAUGUAUGUGCACUAUAACGUUUCUUCUAAUUUCUCCAAUUCACUACGCCUCAAUGUCUUAGAACAUAGGUCCUUGGAAGAACUACCCACUCAAAUAACGUUGUACGAAUUUCCUUUGAUUCACAAAACCACACGCAUACCAAUCCGGAAGAAUUUGUUGUAAUAAGUAUAAUGGUAUUCCAUGACUUUUAU
rnacentral:lncRNA from 1 species